AACCUCCGCAAUGUGAGAAAUCGCGACGGGGGGAUCCCAAGUGCCAUUCUUAACGGGAUGGCUUUUCAUUAGUGUAAAGAGCUUUUGGAAUAAGGGCUGGGCAAGACCGGUGCCAGCCGCCGCGGUAACACCGGCAGCUCUAGUGGUAGCAGUUUUUAUUGGGCCUAAAGCGUCCGUAGCCGGUUUAAUAAGUCUCUGGUGAAAUCCUGUAGCUUAACUGUGGGAAUUGCUGGAGAUACUAUUAGACUUGAGACCGGGAGAGGUUAGAGGUACUCCCAGGGUAGAGGUGAAAUUCUGUAAUCCUGGGAGGACCGCCUGUUGCGAAGGCGUCUAACUGGAACGGUUCUGACGGUGAGGGACGAAAGUUAGGGGCGCGAACCGGAUUAGAUACCCGGGUAGUCCUAACCGUAAACGAUGCGGACUUGGUGUUGGGGUGGCUUUGAGCUGCUCCAGUGCCGAAGGGAAGCUGUUAAGUCCGCCGCCUGGGAAGUACGGUCGCAAGACUGAAACUUAAGGAAUU
rnacentral:rRNA from 1 species